UGGCAGGGUGUGGUCACAUGACACUAGAAGAUAGUUCCUCUAUCUGGUCCCCCGGUGGCCAUGUUGGAUUCUGGUCUUGCCCACACUGAGUGGUUAAAGGUCACAUGAUGGAAGUGGGCGGGAUAAUGGCUGCUUAUAGAUUGAGUGAAGUUGCCGAAGGUCGAAGAUGAUGGUUGACUAUCAGUUUUUAGGAGGCGAGGUCCUUGUUUGAUGAAAUCCCAUCAAAGAACUGCUCAUAAAAACAAGCCACAGUCCCAAUUUCCCAAACAUCUCCUGCCACCAACGAGCUCUACGAAGACGUCAUGAUGGACAAUCAGCCGCCCCUCACAUCACCGGAUGGAUCCAGUAAUGGUAACCCACCAGAGAGAUGUCCCC